rnacentral:rRNA from 1 species
AUUUAACGGCCGCGGUAUACUGACCGUGCGAAGGUAGCAUAAUCACUUGUUCUUUAAAUGAGGACUAGUAUGAACGGCACCACGAGGGCUUUACUGUCUCCUCCCUUCAAUCAGUGAAACUGACCCCCCUGUGAAGAGGCAGGGAUACUACUAUAAGACGAGAAGACCCCAUGGAGCUUUAAACCCAACAACAGCCCAAACACCACCGCCCCUAAAAGUUUUAACGGUAUUGCUAGUUGGUUUUAGGUUGGGGUGACCGCGGAGUAUAAACUAUCCUCCACGACGAACGGGCCUACCCCCUUACCCAAGAGCUACACCUCUAAGGAUUAACACAUUAACGUAAAAUGAUCCAAAUAUUUGAUCAACGAACCAAGUUACCCUGGGGAUAACAGCGCAAUCCAUUUUUAGAGCCCCUAUCGACAAAUGGGUUUACGACCUCGAUGUUGGAUCAGGGUAUCCAGGAGGUG